GGCCUAUUAGCUCAGUUGCUCAGAGCGUCGUGCUAAUAUCGCGAGGGUCGCAGGUUCGAGACCUGCAUGGGCCA